AAGAGGGCAAAUGAGAAGACCUUUGAAUGUCCUUCUACCUCAUGAAUCUUUGACUCCCCGAGUUUCCUUCCCAAGACACUGUGGUCCAGAUGUUUGAAGAGCCUCCUCCCUUAGAACCUACAACCAUAACACAUGCAAGUGAGGAAACCAAGGCAUAGAGGCUAAACAGCUUUCCCAAGCUUCACAGCUCAUCAGUACUAAAGGCAAUAUGUUGACAUCCUUCUGCCUGGACUGGACUGUUCUCACCCAUUUUUCCUAACUUGGACAGAGGAAGGGGAUGUCAUUUAUUCGGACCCUUGCAUUCAUUGUAUUGAUCCUUUAAAUGACCUUGCCAGGUUAACCUGGCCUAUGUCCCAAGGCACGUGGUGUACCAUGGCUUAUGGACCAAACCUGAGAUCGGGAGAUCUUCUGAUCAGGCGCUAAACCCAGCAGACUGUUUGAAAUUCCAAAUCCUAAGAGUGAUCGUAGCUCAAAGGGAAGCAGAACACAGCCAAAAAAUGUCAACUCAGAAAGGCACCUCUGGUAUCAGCUGCAGCAAAUCGCUCGCUUUAGGGAUGACGAGGCUGGGACCCCGUGAAGUGGACGGCGUACCUAGCGCGGCUGAAGCUAUACUUCCUUUCCUGAAACAUCAUCCCACUUCUUUCCAUCAGCUUUUGUUUCCCGUUACAUGUGGCACCGCUGUUUUCCUCUUCUCCCAGAGUACACUUGCCCAGGAAGUACUCGCACCUUUUUGGUUCAGACAUUUUCAGAGAUUGAGUCAGAGGUGGAAACAGGGGAAGCAGGCUCCCUGAGAAAUCAGAUCCCAUUACAUCUAGAAAGGGCAGAGGAAAUAAUAAUAAUAUUAAAACAACGUGUAACAGCUCUACAACAAUUAUCGCAACAGCCAGUCCAUGUAGCACUAUGUUUCCAACACUGUCCUUCCUACUUUAAAUAUUAAUUUAUGCAAAUGAUGUGUGUAUAUCAUCUGAUCCAGACAACGACCCAGUGAAGGAGCCACUGUUAUUAUCCCCUCCUUACAGAGGAGGAAACCGAGGCACAUAGAAGUUAGGAAACUUCCCAGGAUUAUAAAAGUAGCGAGUGGCAGAGCCAGGAUCGUGAGCCCAGUAGUCCAGCUCUGGAGUCCAGCCUCUUGCCCACUAGCCCCCCAUGGCCCCUCACAGAGGCAGGAGUACAGACAUGCUACGGUGGUAUUGAUGACAUGGCAGAAGCAGAAUUCAUCCAGCCCUUGCCUUUGUCACCCACGUGGCCGAUGAGCGAGCAGGGCAAUCCUGGCCCCUCUUCUCCGUUUACCCUGCCUGGAUCUGCGGCUCCUGCCCAGAGCUUCCAUAACUGUUUGUUGGCCCCCUUUCUUGGUUCAUUGUUCCGUGUUUGUUUUUUCUAACAUUUCACGAGAAGAUCUUAAACCUAUGCAAAAGUAGUCCAAACAAUAAAAAUAAAUCCCCAUUACCCAGCUCCUACCCACAAGUGUCGGUCCCUGGGCUUUAAAAAAUACAUCAUUUGUUUCAUUUUCUGCCCUUUUUUAAAUUUUUACUUGUUUUGAGACAGAGAGACAGAAUGUGAGUGGGGGAGGGGCAGAGAGAGAGGGAGACACAGAAUCCAAAGCGGGCUCCAGGCUCCGAGCUGUCAGCACAGAGCCUGAUGCGGGGCUCGAACUCACAAACCGUGAGACCAUGACCUGAGCCGAAGUCAAGACACUCAACUGGCUGAGCCACCCAGGCGCCCCUCAUUUUCUGCCCUUUAAAAAUAUGUUUUCAUAGGCUGUAUAACAUGCUUAUAUAUUAACACUGUCAGGCAUUUUAUGAUUUAUGGGUAAUUAAACGCACAUACGUUGGA